AAAAGAAAAAUUAUUAUUUUUAUGUUAUUUUAUUCUCUCUCUUAAUCCCUCACUCUCUCCUCUUUGAUCAUAAUCCCCACCACUUCAUCAACAAGAAGUUCAUCAUCACCACCACCACUACCGUUAGCAAUCAUCUUCUUCACCAUUAAUCCAUAACCUUCACCAAUGGAUAAUGAGUUUUAAUGUUCGAUUUUGUUUCAUUUUUAUGAACAAAUGUUGGGUUCUGUUGUUAUUGAUGAUAUUGAUUUUAACUCUCGUGUGAUAAUCUAAGAUUUUGUUUAAUUUUAAUUUAUGAUUUAAUUAGGUGUUAAUAUUUGAUUCAAGUCGUGGAUCACUUACACAAAUGAGACAGAAAUUAGAAAUGAGAAGUUAAUCUAUUAAGAGAGAAAAAAAAAAUUUUUUUAAUUAUAUUUUAUAUUUCAAUAAGAGCAAUUUUAAAAUAAAUAAUAUUUAUUAAAAAGUGGCGAUGGUAAGAUAAAAGAUAAAGCUAUUUGAAACCCACUAAAAUACUCUCUACACUCAUUUAUUUUUUAUCACAAAAAAAAAACUCAUCUAUAUAAUUUACUGCAAAGGACAAGAUGUUAUAAAUUUAAAGCAAAUAAUUUUACUCAUCCACACUCGGAUUAACAAUUUUUCUACAUUAAACUAAUUUUAUCAAUGUCAGUCAUCAUUAUAAGAUUCUAACUACAAAAACUAUGAUUUCUAACUAUAAGUGUUAGAUAGAUGAUGAUUACUAAAAUAAUUUCUUCAUAUAUAUUGGAAGCCCUUUUUUUUCUUUUUUUAACAUUUUAUUCUCUUUACAUUAAUAAACUGGCAAUAUUCUUCUGAAAUGUAGCAUGUUGAAUUAUGAUUUGAUUGAGGAAGAGAGAUGUAAUCAUCCAAUGACCAGAGAAGGUGCAAGAGAAGAGGGGAAAAAAUGUUUUGAAAUUUCUUUGAUUUUAGUUUAUAAGGGUAAUUUGGUAUUUAAGUAGGCACAUAGAGUAAAUUUUAAAAUUUUGUAAUAGAUGUAGAGAAUAAAUAAGUGUAAAGAGUAUUUUAAUAAAUUUAAAUAACCCAUCUUAAUAUAAAUUGAGGGUGAAAUAUAACUACUCAAUUUAAAAUUACAAUUCCGACCCUAUCAGAAAUUAUAAUUCUAACCCUAGGCCCCAAUCACCUCAGAUUGGUUUAGGAUGAAGUUUGACAAAUAGUUGGCCCCCGAAUCACGUGCCCACUGGGCCCACCAAAUAACGUUAUGAUCAAUGGAAAAGUAUAUUGAAAGAGACUUCAUAAAUCAUACUGUGGACCCAAAUGUAGGGCCAGCCUUUUGUAGGUUAUGAUCAGAUUCGGAUGCACGUAGAGGGGUGCCCACUGCCAAUCGGCCCAACCUCCUCUUUCGUCUUCAUCUUCCCCCACUUUUUUUUAAUCCCAUUAAAAUAUUUUGAACAGUACAAAAUUCUCUGAGCACCUCCGUUAGUCACAAGAUAACUUUAAUGAAACUUAUUCUUCAUAAACCCCAUUCUUUCAAAUUUUUAUUAUUAUUGUUUAAACCUCAUUGCAAGAAUUUUUUUUGCCAAAAACAGUUUCAAAUACCCCUUUAAGAUUUUGAUUGCUAUAACUUACAAUAUAAAAUUUGUGAAAUUUGUAUUUGUCAAUUUAAAACUCCUAAAAUUGGGUUUAAAAAACAAAAGAGGAUUUAUAUGAUAUUUUACUGUCAAAAAUUUUUAAGAAAAGAAAAAAAUUGUAGGUAUGAAGAUGAUUUUUCUUUCUUAAAAAAAUAUUUGUCAUUAGAGUGUGGGUUAAAUUUGAAAUUUUCCCUUUACAUAGUUUUAAUGAAAGUUAAAAUUAUCGCCGAGUGGCUCCCUCACGAUUGUGAGGGUAGUGAUUCGAAUCCUCACAAAAGUAUUGUAGGGACUUAAUUCUUUUUUCAAAUUUGAGUGAUGAUAGUCUUCUCUCUUUUGAAAUGUGAGUGAAGUUGACGUCCCUCAAAAUAUUAGAGAGUGUUAGAAUGUAAGAUUUAAUGUAAACUAGUCUCAGUAAUUAUCUGAUUAUAAAUAUCAGUUAUAGUAUCAUUUAAUAUGAGUUGUAACC
rnacentral:lncRNA from 1 species